CUUUGGCUAAACUGGAUAGUGAAGAGAUUCUGGAAUGAACUCUUUGUCAAACGUAAGGUCUUAGGAUGAGUCGGCGACGGAUUAGGCAGUGGCGGUGUAACGGACCACCAAACCUAAGAUCCGUAGGGGCCCUGAGAGGGGUAGCCCCGAGAGGGACACUGAAAUACUGGUCCCAGCUCCACGGAGUGCAGCAGGCGCGUAACCUCCACAAUGCGCGAAAGCGUGAUGGGGGGAUCCCGAGUGCUUACAUUAUAUGUAAGCUUUUGCCAAGGGUAAACACCUUGGAGAAUAAGUGGUGGGUAAGACCGGUGCCAGCAGCCGCGGUAACCCCGGCGCCACGAGUGGCAUUCUUGUAUUUGGCCUAAAGCAUUCGUAGCCGGUUUGAAAAAUCCUUUGUGAAAUUGUUGAACUCAACACAACAGCAUGCAGGGGACACUUUCAAGCUAGAGACUGGGAGGAGUUAGGGGUAUUCCUAGGGGAGCGGUUAAAUGUGAUAAUCCUAGGAGGACCACCUGUGGCGAAGGCGCCUAACUAGAACAGUUCUGACGGUGAGGGAUGAAAGCUAGGGGAGCGAUCCGGAUUAGAUACCCGAGUAGUCCUAGCUGUAAACUCUGCGAGCUAGGUGUUGCAUAUUCUACGCGAAUAUGCAGUGUCGAAACGA
rnacentral:rRNA from 1 species